rnacentral:rRNA from 1 species
GCUAACUACGUGCCAGCAGCCGCGGUAAUACGUAGGGGGCAAGCGUUAUCCGGAUUUACUGGGUGUAAAGGGAGCGUAGACGGUGAUGUAAGUCAGAUGUGAAAGCCCGGGGCUCAACCCCGGGACUGCAUUUGAAACUAUGUUGCUGGAGUGCAGGAGAGGUAAGUGGAAUUCCUAGUGUAGCGGUGAAAUGCGUAGAUAUUAGGAGGAACACCAGUGGCGAAGGCGGCUUACUGGACUGUAACUGACGUUGAGGCUCGAAAGCGUGGGGAGCAAACAGGAUUAGAUACCCGGGUAGUC